rnacentral:rRNA from 1 species
CCUACGGGUGGCAGCAGUGGGGGAUAUUGCACAAUGGGGGAAACCCUGAUGCAGCGACGCCGCGUGGGUGAAGAAGCGCCUCGGCGCGUAAAGCCCUGUCAGCAGGGAAGAAAAUGACGGUACCUGAAGAAGAAGCCCCGGCUAACUACGUGCCAGCAGCCGCGGUAAUACGUAGGGGGCAAGCGUUAUCCGGAUUUACUGGGUGUAAAGGGGCCGCAGACGGCGGUGCAAGCCAGGAGUGAAAGCCCGGGGCCAAACCCCGGGACUGCUCUUGGAACUGCGUGGCUAGGGGGCAGAGGGGGAAGGGGGAAUUCCUGGUGUAGGGGGAAAAGGGGUGGAAAUCAGGGGGAAACCCGGUGGGAAGGGCGGCCUGCUGAACUGCAA